UAAAAUACAAAAACAAACUUUUAUUUCAUAAUAAAAACCACACCACUCACAGAUCAUCCUUCCCUGAUUCAUUUCUUUUCCUAUAGGCGGAUUAUCUUAGUGAGCUGAUUUGGUCAGUCACAGCCACUAUAACAGUUGAUCCAUGGCUGCAGUCCUUGCCUUUGACACCUCUGUGACCAGCAAGAUAUUACCAGGAGGAAAGGGAGUGGUUGGUUCUCUCUUCCAAGCUCUCACGGGCACCAUAAGUUCAUAUGAACACAUCAGUACCGUAUGAGCUUGUUUUUCCUAAGAUGGAAUCAAGUCACUUCAUGUUUACCUUGCUCUGUGAAAGGCUGCACAGCAAGUGAACGUACUCUGUCCCAAGAGGUUGCGCUGCCUCAUCUGCAACAAGCUGUGACCCAAUAACCAGGAGAAAUGAUGGAAACUUAUUGAUCAGACAUCUCUAGCCUUUUCAUUAGGUAAUUGACUAUGUACACUCUUUCUGAAAGCAGGGUUAUUAAUAUUGCUGCCUUCUUAUUGCAAAUUUUGUUGCAAUGUUUCUUUUACUUUUUCUUGGCUGGUGUUUUAAUCCCUUUUCAACCUACAAAGCUGCUGUCUAUAUCUUCUUUCUUCCUUGAACGUGGUUUUUGCAAUCUUGACUGUUUGUAGAAAGAUUAAAACAGUUAUAUGUGUGUAUAACAUCAGCAUCAAGAUACAUUAUCACCAUUUUUUUUUAUUCCACUACUAGUCUGUGAAUAAACCACCCGGCCAGCAGCCAUAUCACACUGAACUGCACUCUAGUUAGGAUAAUCGAUGAUACUGGGUGUUGGAUUUUCUGUAUUUUAGAAAGUUGACUGAAGCCUAUGCUUCUGCAGAUCACUAUAUCAGAAGUCAGAAUAUUUCAAUAUGUAAUUAACCUUCCAUGUAAAAACGAGGUAGGCAUAGGUGAUUAAUCAUUUGAGUCCAUAACAGAAGUAAGUGGAGAGUUUUAUCAAAAAAGGAACAAGGACUAAAUGAAUGGAGAAGGAAGAUCUGUGAAACUGAUUCUAACUAGUUUGGGAAUGAGGCAUAGUUGAGUUGAAUUGUGGGGUGGGGUUAGAGCACUGAGGAGAAUGGAAGAAGCUACACGGCCAUCAUUGACCAGCAUUGUUUCAUCAAACAUUGUACUAUUUCAACCAUGUGUUUUGCUUAAAUCAUAAAUUAUACCUAUGUUUGUAUGCUAAUUAAUUAACCCCUCAUGGAGCAGUCUUUGUUGUGCUUUGAGGAUUACUAUGGUAUGCACAAACAAGGUAACCCUCUAAGUAUUCCAAUCUACCUUCCUCUUCACCACUAAUACCAGGCUUGCCACAUGCCAGCUGUUAGUCUUUAGGAUUAAAGAAUUUUUACCUCGUUAAGCCAUGAUUCAACGACCACAGCUGAGGAUUGAGUCGGUACUAGAGAAGGAAUGAGCAGAGUAAUCAUUAGAUCUAUGGAAAGACAAGGUGAAAUCCCCAGGCUCUUCAUGACUAACUGGCAUCAAACCUAUGCUAGCACCAUCGAGAGGCAUCUCUGGCAGGCUAGCAUUCCCAUCCAGAUAUUGCGAAAUUUGCCUCAUGCUUGGCCUAGCUUGUGGUGUAGAGAAAGAACAAAGCAGACCUAGCCUUAAAACCAAUUCCAUUUCCUCCACCACGUAAUUACCUUCCAAUCUUGGAUCACCUGUUCGAAGAAUGUCUCCUAUUUUCCAGGAAUCAAGAACCCAGUCAACCAAAAUCAUCUUCUCUGCUGAUUGUUCUGGCUCUACAGGUUUCCUUCCACAAGGCCAUUUCAAGCAUAAAAGUGCCAAAAGCAAAAACAUCACUGCUGGUAGUGGCCCUUCCUGUUCUAGUAACCUCUGGCGCGAUAUAUCCAACUGUUCCAACCACACAGGUUGUUUGAGGAUUAGCCCCACGAUCAUAGAAUUUAGCAAGCCCAAAAUCUCCUAGUCGACCAUUGAAAUCAUCAUCUAACAGUAUAUUGCUAGCUUUAACAUCUCUAUGAAGAACAACCUGUUCCCACUCUUCAUGGAGGUAAAGAAGGGCAGACGCAACUCCUCUGAGGACCUGAUAUCGAUGAACCCAAUUAAAGCUGGGUGUGUCAUUGUGAAAUAGGAGUUUAUCAAGGCUUCCGUGGGGCAUGUAAUCAUAGACCAAGAGGAGCUCUCCCUUUCUCCGGCAAUAGCCUAGGAGCUGGACCAAGUUCCUGUGCCUCAGCCUUCCCAUGCUAGCAAUCUCAGCAACAAACUGCUUAGUUCCUUGUUUGGAAUCAUGGGAUACUUUCUUGAUCGCGACUUGCAUAUUGGAAGAAGGCAAUACUCCUCUGUAAACCUUUCCGAAACCUCCACUUCCCAGCAACUUCCUGUCCGUGAAACCUGUAGUUGCUUUGUAUAAAUCCUUGUAGGAGAAUCUUUGAGGACCAUACUCCUGUUCCCAAUCUUCGCGCAGUUCUUCAUAUUUCUUCCUCUUUAUUAUAUAAGCAGCACCAGAGAUUGCUACCAGCAAAAUGAUUGCUGUUAUUGUUGGGACCAGAAUUCUUAAAUAUGGCUUCUUUCUGGAUUUUCUUUGAGGGGGAAGUGAAGGCAACUUUGACACGUCAAGACUUUGAGCUUGUCCGCCUCUGUUGAAGCUCCACCCCAGAAUAUAGUGGCUGCUAGCCACUGCUCCAGUAGAUGAAGAAAAACCAACGUACAUAGAAUCCAACAUAACAGAAGAAAGAUCGAGAGGUGUUGACAAGAGAGGCAAGGUUGGUUUUGUUCUUGUGAUAGGAGCAACUGUAACAUUGAGUAGCUUCUCUACUUCAUCGUAAUCUAUCCAGACGUGCAUCACAUGACCACUUAUGAGAGUCAAGCUCUUAUUCUCCUUUUCCUCAUCUGAAAAGUAGGUCACCGCAGCAGAUUCAAUGGAUAUCAAGCUGUUUACAUCAAUUCCAACGUGGUUGUCAUUGAUGUCUUUAAAAUCCGGGCUUCGAAUUGCAUCCAGCUCAACUGCCAAUAGAUGGUUUGAAGACAGGCCAUUGCUUGUAGAAUUGAGGAUUCCAAGGUACUGAGUUGCCAAAGCCCCUGUGAAGUUCGUAGAUUGAGAGAUUGUGAAGGCCAUGCCAUGGCCACCAAGUGUAGGCAGCUCAGAGACCAUGGAAAACGCAAACUGGGUAGAGAAAGAGAGAGACCGAGAAUUGUUGAAUAAAGAUGUGUUGAACAGAAAAGGGAAUGGGAAGAAAGCACGGCCAAUUUGCUGUUUUGAAGUGUUUGUCAGCUCUAAGAGACCAUUUGGAUGGAUUUUUGCAAUCUCGCUGAGGAGCAGGUUGGCUCCAGUGAAGCCAUGAUAGAUGAAGUGGUUUUGCUCUUGAGCUAAGGCCAAGAGCUUCGAGGAAACAAACAGGCCGAGCAGGAAGUGCAAUGAUUUGAAAGCGGCAAUCAUCACAUGAACAAGUAGAAGAUUGUUUUUGCUUCUUCAGUUACACAUUGGUAAAAGUUUUUUCGCUUCGAGUUUUUCCUUAAUUGUUGUUACAGUUUCUAAAGACUGAAUUAUUAACACGUCUCUUCACAUUGCUAUGA